GCUAAGCCAGGUGCACCUCCCCGGCAGGUGGAGCCCUCAGCGGCCUGUUACCCAGGAACCAACCAAGGGGGCACGGCAGAUGCCCAGGACAGCAGUGGAGCAUUUGCCUGUGGCCCCCAGCCCCUCCCACCGCAUACCCUGGGUGGCCCCCUACUGUCACCGAGGGUCACCUCUGGGAGGCCAGCAGGAGGACCCAGCCUCUGCUCCUUGCCCGGCAGAGAUUCUCCCUCCACUGAGAGCAGGCAGGGGGGUGAUGAGGCAGCCCCACCCCACCACUGUCAGGAACUGAGCACAGAGGGCCUCCCCCAUUCCAGGGGCCCUCACCCAGCCGACCUACCCCUGCAUCCCGGCUGCUGGGGGAUCAGAAGUCAUGGGAAUAGAGAGCCUGUGGACACUUCCCCAGAGACCUGAGGAAGGCACUGGAAUCUCGAUCCUCCACUUCGGGGCUGAGCGCCCAGGUUCGGGCGGAGGGUCUGCGGAUUGAAGCCGAUGACUGAGCUUUGCUGGCCAGAACCAGCUUCCAUCCCCCAGGCCAGGGCUGCCUCCGAUGGCCUGAGGUGCCCCUGUCCUGUGUGUGCAUGUGUGUGUAUGCCCCCACAUGAGUAUGUGCACACGUGCGUACACGUGUGUGUGCUCGUGAGACGGGAGGUGUGGUGUCCUUCUGUCUCCCUGGUUAGUGCUGGUUGAUUCUGACAGCGGGCACCAGUUAUCCAUGGGGUGCCGCCCAGGGUGGGUCUCUACCGUGCUAUGAGCCUGGACCGGAUGCCUGCCCUCUGGGUGCCUCAGUGCUCCCUUGGUGUAAAGCGAGGUUCAAGUUCCCAAGCUGUGCUUUGCAGAAUUCCUCAGGAAUGGCCAUGGAAGUUGGGGAAGGCAACAUGGGGUCCAAUCCCGCAGGCACCCCUUUGCCCCACACGCACCCCUCUGCCCCACAGA
rnacentral:lncRNA from 1 species